rnacentral:rRNA from 1 species
GAGUUUGAUCCUGGCUCAGGAUGAACGCUGGCGGCGUGCCUAACACAUGCAAGUCGAACGGGCUCGGAUUGAAACCUAGUGAUUUCCGAGUUAGUGGCGGACGGGUGAGUAACGCGUGGAUAACCUGCCGUAUGCAGGGGGAUAACAGUUGGAAACAGCUGCUAAUACCGCAUAAGCGCACAGUACCGCAUGGUACGGUGUGAAAAGAUUUAUCGGCAUACGAUGGAUCCGCGUCCGAUUAGCCAGUUGGCGGGGUAACGGCCCACCAAAGCGACGAUCGGUAGUCGGCCUGAGAGGGCGGACGGCCACACUGGGACUGAGACACGGCCCAAACUCCUACGGGAGGCAGCAGUGGGGAAUAUUGCACAAUGGGGGAAACCCUGAUGCAGCGACGCCGCGUGAGUGAAGAAGUAUUUCGGUAUGUAAAGCUCUAUCAGCAGGGAAGAAAAUGACGGUACCUGACUAAGAAGCCCCGGCUAACUACGUGCCAGCAGCCGCGGUAAUACGUAGGGGGCAAGCGUUAUCCGGAUUUACUGGGUGUAAAGGGAGCGUAGACGGCGCUGCAAGUCCGGAGUGAAAGCCCAUGGCUUAACCAUGGUACUGCUCUGGAAACUGUGGAGCUUGAGUGCGGGAGGGGCAGGCGGAAUUCCUAGUGUAGCGGUGAAAUGCGUAGAUAUUAGGAGG